rnacentral:tRNA from 1 species
GGGGAUUUAGCUCAGCGGCAUAAGCGCCUGCCUUGCAAGCAGGUAGUGGUGAGUUCGAUCCCUG